AAACCAACCGGGAUUGCCUUAGUAACGGCGAGUGAAGCGGCAAAAGCUCAAAUUUGAAAUCUGGUACCUUCGGUGCCCGAGUUGUAAUUUGGAGAGGGCAACUUUGGGGCCGUUCCUUGUCUAUGUUCCUUGGAACAGGACGUCAUAGAGGGUGAGAAUCCCGUGUGGCGAGGAGUGCGGUUCUUUGUAAAGUGCCUUCGAAGAGUCGAGUUGUUUGGGAAUGCAGCUCUAAGUGGGUGGUAAAUUCCAUCUAAAGCUAAAUAUUGGCGAGAGACCGAUAGCGAACAAGUACAGUGAUGGAAAGAUGAAAAGAACUUUGAAAAGAGAGUGAAAAAGUACGUGAAAUUGUUGAAAGGGAAGGGCAUUUGAUCAGACAUGGUGUUUUGUGCCCUCUGCUCCUUGUGGGUAGGGGAAUCUCGCAUUUCACUGGGCCAGCAUCAGUUUUGGUGGCAGGAUAAAUCCAUAGGAAUGUAGCUUGCCUCGGUAAGUAUUAUAGCCUGUGGGAAUACUGCCAGCUGGGACUGAGGACUGCGACGUAAGUCAAGGAUCGCCGUUU
rnacentral:rRNA from 1 species